AUGCUGACGACAAAGUGAUUCUGUUUUAUCAAACUGAAACUAUGAACUGUAAUGCAAAUUGUGAAUUUCGAAAUUGAGGUUAUGAAAUUGACAUAACUCUAUUUAUAAACAAUAUGAACGACCGCGUUGAAGGAUAUGAAUGCAUUGGAACCUUGACAUGUGUUUUACUGUGUUUCUCAUCACGAUAAUAGAAAAUCUAGUGCUCAAAUUCAUAAUCUAAUGAACAUACAGCCAUACAAAAGAUGUCUUAAAGAGGUAUGCCUCUACUGACAAAGUGAAUUAAGUUGCCUACUCGAAAAGCAACUUUGCAAGGAAGCAAGUUUGCUACCCGCUGAAAUGUUCCCUUGGUACUUGAUGGAAUUAUGUAAUGAAACUGUCAUCCAUUACAAUGUGAUAAAGAUAUUCCUGAUGGCGAUGAGUGAUGACUAACUUUCAAAGACUACAAGAUGAACCCCUUCCACUUCUAGAAUGUGAAGAAUGCUGCCAUAUUACUGGCCCAUAUGAUCAUCAUGACAACUGUCUACCGUUGUCUACCCCGAUACAAGGAAAAUUACAAAUGUGUUGCUAAGCUUAAUAUUAGAUGACUAGAAGCAGUUAGAAGAAUAAAGAACGGUUCCUGAGUUUUACAAUGGCCAACUAACUUUUGAUGACUGAUGAAGAUGACUAUGCCAGCA